GUUCGGUCCCUAUCUACCGUGGGCGUUGGAAAUUUGAGAGGAUCUGCUCCUAGUACGAGAGGACCAGAGUGGACGAACCUCUGGUGUUUCGGUUGUGACGCCAGUCGCAUUGCCGAGUAGCUAUGUUCGGAUGGGAUAACCGCUGAAAGCAUCUAAGCGGGAAGCCCACCUUAAGAUUAGAUUUCCCUAAAGAGCCGUUGUAGACUACGACGUUGAUAGGUUGGGUGUGGAAGCACAGCGAUGUGUGUAGCUAACCAAUACUAAUUGCUCGUUUGGCUUGACUAUACAACGCCUAA
rnacentral:rRNA from 1 species